AGUGAACGCUGGCGGUAGGCCUAACACAUGCAAGUCGAACGGCAGCACAGUAAGAGCUUGCUCUUACGGGUGGCGAGUGGCGGACGGGUGAGGAAUACAUCGGAAUCUACUUUUUCGUGGGGGAUAACGUAGGGAAACUUACGCUAAUACCGCAUACGACCUACGGGUGAAAGCAGGGGAUCUUCGGACCUUGCGCGAUUGAAUGAGCCGAUGUCGGAUUAGCUAGUUGGCGGGGUAAAGGCCCACCAAGGCGACGAUCCGUAGCUGGUCUGAGAGGAUGAUCAGCCACAGUGGAACUGAGACACGGUGCAGACUCCUACGUGAGGCAGCAGUGGGGAAUAUUGGACAAUGGGCGCAAGCCUGAUCCAGCCAUACCGCGUGGGUGAAGAAGGCCUUCGGGUUGUAAAGCCCUUUUGUUGGGAAAGAAAAGCAGCAGGUUAAUACCCCGCUGUUCUGACGGUACCCAAAGAAUAAGCACCGGCUAACUUCGU
rnacentral:rRNA from 1 species